UUGAUUUAUUUAUCCACCUACUGAAGGACAUCUGCUGAAGGGCUUGCUUCCAAGUUUUGGCAAUUAUGAAUAAAGCUGCUAUAAACAUCCAUGUUCAGGUUUUUGUAUGGAUGUAAGUUUCCAAAGUUACAGAAC